rnacentral:rRNA from 1 species
UACGUAGUGGCAAGCGUUGUCCGGAUUUACUGGGCGUAAAGGAUGCGUAGGUGGAUGUUUAAGUCAGAUGUGAAAUACCCGAGCUUAACUUGGGUGCUGCAUUUGAAACUGGAUAUCUAGAGUGCAGGAGAGGUAAGUGGAAUUCCUAGUGUAGCGGUGAAAUGCGUAGAGAUUAGGAAGAACACCAGUGGCGAAGGCGACUUACUGGACUGUAACUGACACUGAGGCAUGAAAGCGUGGGUAGCAAACAGG